UCAGAUCGUUGAGCUGGGGAUGAAACAUCCAUGGAACUCCGCAGUUAAGCAUGCUAAAGCUAGAGUAGUACUAGGAUGGGUGACUGCUCGGGAAGUCCUAUUGUCUUAC
rnacentral:rRNA from 1 species